AACGAACGCUGGCGGCAGGCUUAACACAUGCAAGUCGAACGCCCGUAGCAAUACGGGAGUGGCAGACGGGUGAGUAACGCGUGGGAAUCUCCCCAAAGGUACGGAACAACUCAGGGAAACUUGAGCUAAUACCGUAUGUGCCCGAGAGGGCAAAGAUUUAUCGCCUUUGGAUGAGCCCGCGUUGGAUUAGCUAGUUGGUGGGGUAAUGGCCUACCAAGGCGACGAUCCAUAGCUGAUCUGAGAGGAUGAUCAGCCACACUGGGACUGAGACACGGCCCAGACUCCUACGGGAGGCAGCAGUGGGGAAUCUUGGACAAUGGGCGAAAGCCUGAUCCAGCCAUGCCGCGUGAGUGAAGAAGGCCUUAGGGUUGUAAAGCUCUUUUGCCCGGGAAGAUAAUGACGGUACCGGGAGAAUAAGCCCCGGCAAACUUCGUGCCAGCAGCCGCGGUAAUACGAAGGGGGCUAGCGUUGUUCGGAUUUACUGGGCGUAAAGCGCACGUAGGCGGA
rnacentral:rRNA from 1 species